rnacentral:rRNA from 1 species
AGCUCCAAUAGCGUAUAUUAAAGUUGUUGCAGUUAAAAGCUCGUAGUUGGAUUUCUGGCCGGCCCGGUUGGUCUGCGCCGCAAGGCGUGUGUUACCGCUCCGUGUGCCGGCCCUCUUGGGGAUCUGUGCUUGCCUGCCGUUUACUUCGGUGGGCUUGUGCACCCCCUCGUUUACUGUGAAAAAUUAGAGUGUUUAAAGCAGGCUUACGCCGUUGAAUACAUUAGCAUGGAAUAAUAAGAUAGGACUUUGGCGGUCUAUUUUGUUGGUUUGCACGCCAAGGUAAUGAUUAAUAGGGACAGUUGGGGGUAUUCGUAUUCAAUUGUCAGAGGUGAAAUUCUUGGAUUUAUGGAAGACGAACUACUGCGAAAGCAUUUACCAAGGAUGUUUUCA